rnacentral:rRNA from 1 species
GGGGAAUAUUGCGCAAUGGGGGCAACCCUGACGCAGCAACGCCGCGUGCAGGAAGAAGGUCUUCGGAUUGUAAACUGUUGUCGCAAGGGAAGAAGACAGUGACGGUACCUUGUGAGAAAGUCACGGCUAACUACGUGCCAGCAGCCGCGGUAAUACGUAGGUGACAAGCGUUGUCCGGAUUUACUGGGUGUAAAGGGCGCGUAGGCGGACUGUCAAGUCAGUCGUGAAAUACCGGGGCUUAACCCCGGGGCUGCGAUUGAAACUGACAGCCUUGAGUAUCGGAGAGGAAAGCGGAAUUCCUAGUGUAGCGGUGAAAUGCGUAGAUAUUAGGAGGAACACCAGUGGCGAAGGCGGCUUUCUGGACGACAACUGACGCUGAGGCGCGAAAGCGUGGGGAGCAAACAGGAUUAGAUACCCUGGUAGUCCACGCUGUAAACGAUGAAUACUAGGUGUGGGAGGACUGACCCCUUCCGUGCCGCAGUUAACACAAUAAGUAUUCCACCUGGGGAGUACGAUCGCAAGAUUGAAACUCAAAGGAAUUGACGGGGGCCCGCACAAGCAGUGGAUUAUGUGGUUUAAUUCGACGCAACGCGAAGAACCUUACCGGGAUUUGACAUCCUACUAACGAAGCAGAGAUGCAUUAGGUGCCCUUCGGGGAAAGUAGAGACAGGUGGUGCAUGGUUGUCGUCAGCUCGUGUCGUGAGAUGUUGGGUUAAGUCCCGCAACGAGCGCAACCCCUAUUGUUAGUUGCUACGCAAGAGCACUCUAGCGAGACUGCCGUUGACAAAACGGAGGAAGGUGGGGAUGACGUCAAAUCAUCAUGCCCUUUAUGACCUGGGCUACACACGUACUACAAUGGCGUUUAACAAAGAGAAGCAAGACCGCGAGGUGGAGCAAAACUCAGAAACAACGUCUCAGUUCAGAUUGCAGGCUGCAACUCGCCUGCAUGAAGUCGGAAUUGCUAGUAAUCGCGGAUCAGCAUGCCGCGGUGAAUACGUUCCCG